GACAACUGUGCUGGCAGCAGCUCUCUGCAGCUCUCACAUGGUCACCCACUGAAGCUAAGAAGGCUGAGCCUGAUCAGUGUCUGGAUGGGAGACCACCUGGAAACACUAGGGUACUAUUGGCA
rnacentral:rRNA from 1 species